rnacentral:rRNA from 1 species
UACGGGGGGGGGCAAGCGUUGUUCGGAAUUACUGGGCGUAAAGGGCUCGUAGGUGGCCAACUAAGUCAUACGUGAAAUCCCUCGGCUUAACCGGGGAACUGCGUCUGAUACUGGAUGGCUUGAGGUUGGGAGAGGGAUGCGGAAUUCCAGGUGUAGCGGUGAAAUGCGUAGAUAUGCGGAGGAACACCGAUGGCGAAGGCAAUCUCCUGGGCCUGCACUGACGCUCAUGCACGAAAGGCGUGGGGAGCAAACAGG